UUGAAGGUUAUCGCAUGGAACUGCCGGGGGCUUGGGAACCCAGCGGCAGUUCGGGGCCUUCUGGAGCUCUAGAGGGUUGAAGAUCCUGACAUACUCUUCCUGUCCGAAACAAAGAUGAGGGAGAGGGAGAUUGACUUUCUACGGUGGCGUUUGAAUCUGGCAAACAUGGUGGUGGUGGAUAGUGUGGGGCGUAGUGGCGGGUUGGCGAUGUUCUGGAGGAGGGGUGUGGAGGUACGGUUGAGAUGGAAGGGGAGGUACCAUAUUGAUGCGGAUGUAGUAAAUGAGGAUGGCAGCAAGUGGAGAUUGGCAGGAGUCUAUGGCGAAUCGAGUGUAGGAGAGAAGGAAAACAUGUGGAGGCUUCUUAGAGCUCUCCAUGGGCAGUCAAACCUACCAUGGCUCUGCCUAGGAGACUUCAACGAGAUCAUGUUUGGGGGUGAGAAGGAAGGAGGGCGGCUCGGGCCCAUGGCUGUAUGGAAGCUUUCUGAAGAUGCCUUGAACACUGUCGGCUGGAGGACCUGGGGUUUCUUGGAGAUCCUUUCACCUGGAGAAAUAAUUGGACGGAUGCAGAGGGGUACACGCGGGAGAGACUAG
rnacentral:rRNA from 1 species